rnacentral:rRNA from 1 species
UGGAUAGACGAGAAUUAAGCUGUCUCUACAAGUUAUCUAAAAAUUACCCUUCAAGUGAAGAGUCUUGAAUCCCUAUAAAAGACAAGAAGACCCUGUAGAGCCUAAAUUAUUGUUAAAUCCCAAAAUAAAAUUAAAACACCCCUUUAACACUAUUUUAGUUGGGGCGACUAAGGAACACCUAUAGCUUCCUUCACCAAAUAGGCCCAUUCGCCAUAUUAACGAUCCACUACAUAUGAUCAAAAAACCAGGCUACCUCAGGGAUAACAGUCUAAUCUUCCUCGAGAGCUCAUAUUGACAGGAAGGAUUGGCACCUCGAUGUUGGGCUUUAGGAA